AUUGAACGCUAGCGGCAUGCCUUACACAUGCAAGUCGAACGGCAGCACGGGAGCAAUCCUGGUGGCGAGUGGCGAACGGGUGAGUAAUAUAUCGGAACGUGCCCGGUCGUGGGGAUAACGUAGCGAAAGCUACGCUAAUACCGCAUACGAUCUACGGAUGAAAGCGGGGGAUCGCAAGACCUCGCGCGAUUGGAGCGGCCGAUAUCAGAUUAGGUAGUUGGUGAGGUAAAGGCUCACCAAGCCAACGAUCUGUAGCUGGUCUGAGAGGACGACCAGCCACACUGGAACUGAGACACGGUCCAGACUCCUACGGGAGGCAGCAGUGGGGAAUUUUUGGACAAUGGACGCAGGUCUGAUCCAGCCAUUCCGCGUGCAGGAUGAAGGCCCUCGGGUUGUAAACUGCUUUUGUUACGGAACGAAAAGGUUUCUAUUAAUACUAGGAGCUCAUGACGGUACCGUAAGAAUAAGACACCGGCUAACUACGUG
rnacentral:rRNA from 1 species